UACAGAGGCCUCGAGCGUUAGGCGGAAUCACUGGGCUUAAAGCGUGCGUAGACGGUAGCGUAAGUCAGAUGUGAAAGCCCCGGGCUCAACCUGGGAAUUGCAUUUGAGACUGCUCUGCUCGGGUGCGGAAGAGGGAAGCGGAAUUUCCGGUGUAGCGGUGAAAUGCGUAGAUAUCGGAAGGAACACCAGUGGCGAAAGCGGCUUCCUGGUCCGACACCGACGUUCAGGCACGAAAGCGUGGGGAGCAAACAGG
rnacentral:rRNA from 1 species